UACGAAGGGCUAGCGUUGCUCGGAUUGACUGGGCGUAAAGGGCGCGUAGGCGGUUCGUACAGUCAGACGUGAAAAUUCCUGGGCUCAACCUGGGCUGCGUUUUGAUACUGCGGACUUGAGUGCGGAAGAGGGUCGUGGAAAUUUCCCAGUGUAGAGGUGAAAAUUCGUAGAUAUUUGGGGAAAGAAACACCCGGUGGCGAA
rnacentral:rRNA from 1 species